rnacentral:rRNA from 2 species
AAACUAACAAGGAUUCCCCUAGUAACUGCGAGUGAAGCGGGAAAAGCUCAAAUUUAAAAUCUGGUAGUCUUUGGCUGCCCGAGUUGUAAUCUAGAGAAGCGUUAUCCGCGCUGGACCGUGUAUAAGUCUCCUGGAAUGGAGCGUCAUAGAGGGUGAGAAUCCCGUCUUUAACACGGACUCCCAGGGCUUUGUGAUGCGCUCUCAAAGAGUCGAGUUGUUUGGGAAUGCAGCUCUAAAUGGGUGGUAAAUUCCAUCUAAAGCUAAAUAUUGGCGAGAGACCGAUAGCGAACAAGUACCGUGAGGGAAAGAUGAAAAGAACUUUGGAAAGAGAGUUAAACAGUACGUGAAAUUGUUGAAAGGGAAACGCUUGAAGUCAGUCGCGUUGAUCAGGGAUCAACCUUGCUUUUGCUUGGUGUACUUCCUGGUUAACGGGUCAGCAUCAAUUUUGACCAGUGGAAAAAGGUCAGGGGAAUGUGGCAUCUUCGGAUGUGUUAUAGCCUCUGGUCAUAUACAUUGGUUGGGAUUGAGGAACUCAGCACGCCGCAAGGCCGGGUUUUACCACGUUCGUGCUUAGGAUGCUGGCAUAAUGGCUUUAAUCGACCCGU